UCUUUUGCCGCAUCCUCCUGCGGCAAUUCCUCUGAACGUUUGGGGCAAAGAAUCCUUGGGACAGAGUCAAUAUCUGAAUAUGGACUAUCUACGGCAUCUGGUUUGUGCCGUUCAGCAGCUGUGGAAGUGCCAGGUUUUCCUCUGAUUAUAACGGAUGCAUCUAGUCCAUUGGUCAAAAGUAAGCUUGAUGAUAUGGACUGUGUAGUAGAUGUCUGGCAAGCAGGACUUUUUGGUGCCUUGUCUUCUGUGAUAGGCAUGUGGACAUCCCGAAUUACAGUCAAUGGAGGUUCGCUAUUUAACCGCUGGGCAGUUUUUCAAACUGAUGACCUCCUUCAAAAGGAAAAGUGGCUUUUGCCGGGACCCAAGCUUGGUCUAUGAUCUCCCCGAACAUCCUGACGAAAUAGAGACGGCAUGGCCGACGACUGGGGUCUGCAAGAAAAUGCCAUUAUUCUGUGAUAAUAUGACAACAAUGAGUUCUAAGAAUGGUUUUAACAUAGAAGACAUUUUGGUUUCCAUGAUAAUAAUGCUAAAUAUCUUGUUACAUGCUAAAUAGAAAUAGAAAUUAGAACAUGUGCAUUUAAUUUCUUGAACACGGCAAAAAGAAAAUAUCUACACUGUGUGUCAUCUGUCUUGCAAAAUACAUGUGGAAGAACUUCUAUUGCUUUUAGGCCAAAAUCGGUCUGCAGACACUCUAAAUUCUAAGUAAAAGUUGAACAAGUGCAUAAAUAACCAUAUCAUGUCAAUAAAAUGUCUCAUUAUGAAUGUCAUCUCACCCAUGUCAAAUUAGGCAUCCACUAUGAAUAGUCAUACAAAAGGGGUUAAAACAAAAGAUAUCACCUUUCAU